rnacentral:lncRNA from 1 species
AAUUAUUAUUAUUAUUUUUAUAAGAUUCUUCAGAAGUUAUAUUUCUCAGUAUUUACUAUUAGUAUGUAGAUUAGGGAUAAAUUUAGCCAAGGAUGGCAAAAGACAGUUUUGUAAUACUUACAUUUGUACACUUUAUCAUAGUUUUAAAAAUACAUGUAUUUAAAGUAACUUUCCAGCUUGUAUGCUAGUAGAGGGCAAGCACUUUUAUUUAAAUUCACAUAUUAUAGUC